UACGAAGGGAGCUAGCGUUGUUCGGAAUUACUGGGCGUAAAGGGCGCGUAGGCGGCUUGAUAAGUUUGGUGUGAAAGCCCUGGGCUUAACCUAGGAAUAGCAUUGAAUACUGUUGGGCUAGAGGCCGAGAGAGGGAAAUGGAAUUGCGAGUGUAGAGGUGAAAUUCGUAGAUAUUCGCAAGAACACCAGUGGCGAAGGCGAUUUCCUGGCUCGGUACUGACGCUAAGGCGCGAAAGCGUGGGGAGCAAACAGG
rnacentral:rRNA from 1 species